rnacentral:rRNA from 1 species
GACGAACGCUGGCGGCGUGCUUAACACAUGCAAGUCGAACGAAGUGGCGAACGGGUGAGUAACGCGUAAUCAACCUGCCCUUCAGAGGGGGACAACAGUUGGCAACGACUGCUAAUACCGAAUACUGAAGGAGGGGAUUGCGUCUGAUUAGCUCGUUGGAGGGGUAACGGCCCACCAAGGCGAUGAUCAGUAACCGGGCUUGGAGGAGGAACGGCCACAUUUGGACUGGGACACGGCCCAUACGCCUACGGGAGGAAGCAGUGGGGAAUCGUCCGCAAAGGACGAAAGUCUUACGGAGCAACGCCGCGUGGGUGAUGACGGCCUUCGGGUUGUAAAGCUCUGUUAAUCGGGACGCGGUACCGGAAUAGAAAGCCACGGCUAACUACGUGCCAGCAGCCGCGGUAAUUC